AAUUUUCUUUAGUCUUACUACCCGGAACGCCUUGCGAAAUGCUACAUCUUACAUAUGCCGGGAUUCUUCGUGACUGUUUGGAGAUUCGUCUGCCGUUUCCUAGAGAAAACAACUCAGGAAAAGGUUUGAUCUUUAAUCAUCUCGUGAUGUAUCUAUCUCCACAAAUUCAUUUUUUAAGCAAAUCUGAAGCACGUUACUUUUUUUUUCCCUGGUUUUAUAGAUUGUAAUAGUAACAGACGGAGAAGAACAGAGAAAAUUUGAGGAGGAGGUUGGAUUAGAGGCUUUACCUGAAGAAUACGGAGGCCGAGCUAAGCUCACAUUAAUCCAAGAUGUCAUUCUUCCUCAGACUGCUCCACCAAUGUUACCAACAAACAAUAAUGCUUAAUUCUUAAUUCUUGGAAAAGCAUUUAACCCUUCAAACACUGAAUCCUGCUUUAAUACAUAUUAUCUCCCUACUGCUUUACUCUUUUUAUUCUGUAAUGAUUAGAACAAGAUAUCGUUAGAACUUUUCAACAACUUUAAUUUCCAAAAGAAGUAAUAUAAUGAAACACAUGAGAAAGUCGUGUGAAUAUACUCAAUCUGGUGAAAUAAUACCUUUUGUUUACUAGUUUCAGACAUCCCGCUGUUUCUAUUUAUUAGAUAAAAAACGUCUGUUGUUCUAAGGUCUCGGAUCAAAAAAGCCUGCUG
rnacentral:lncRNA from 1 species